UACGUAGGGUGCGAGCGUUAAUCGGAAUUACUGGGCGUAAAGCGUGCGCAGGCGGUUUGUAAGCCAGAUGUGAAAAUCCCCGGGCUUAACCUGGGAAUGGCAUUUGGGACUGCAAGGCUGGAGUGUGGCAGAGGAGACUGGAAUUCCCGGUGUAGCAGUGAAAUGCGUAGGAUAUCGGGAGGAAUACCGAUGGCGAAGGCAAGGUCUCUGGGCUGACACUGACGCUCAUGCACGAAAGCGUGGGGAGCAAACAGG
rnacentral:rRNA from 1 species